UUCUCCUGGAAACGGGUGGUAAUGCCGGAUGUUCCACAUGAGCGCAUGCGAGUGUGGGAAAGGCUUUUUGCGGCAUGGGAUGGGGUCGCGUCCUAUCAGCUUGUUGGUGGGGUAACGGCCUACCAAGGCGUUGACGGGUAGCCGGCCUGAGAGGGCGACCGGCCACAUUGGGACUGAGAUACGGCCCAGACUCCUACGGGAGGCAGCAGUGGGGAAUAUUGCACAAUGGGCGCAAGCCUGAUGCAGCGACGCCGCGUGCGGGAUGGAGGCCUUCGGGUUGUAAACCGCUUUUGUUCAAGGGCAAGGCACGGUUUCGGCCGUGUUGAGUGGAUUGUUCGAAUAAGCACCGGCUAACUACGUGCCAGCAGCCGCGGUAAUACGUAGGGUGCAAGCGUUAUCCGGAUUUAUUGGGCGUAAAGGGCUCGUAGGCGGUUCGUCGCGUCCGGUGUGAAAGUCCAUCGCUUAACGGUGGAUCCGCGCCGGGUACGGGCGGGCUUGAGUGCGGUAGGGGAGACUGGAAUUCCCGGUGUAACGGUGGAAUGUGUAGAUAUCGGGAAGAACACCA
rnacentral:rRNA from 1 species